AGCUUGCACAGUGGCAGUAUCGUAGCCAGUGAGGUUUAUCACGGCACAAUUAUUGCUGAUUGAAAACUUUUUCCUAUACAU
rnacentral:snRNA from 1 species